GCCGGUGUAGCUCAGUUGGUAGAGCAGCGCAUUCGUAAUGCGAAGGUCGGCGGUUCGACUCCGUCCACCGGCACCA
rnacentral:tRNA from 1 species